rnacentral:rRNA from 1 species
UUCUGUAAGCCGUUGAAGGUGUGCUGUGAGGCAUGCUGGAGGUAUCAGAAGUGCGAAUGCUGACAUAAGUAACGAUAAAGCGGGUGAAAAGCCCGCUCGCCGGAAGACCAAGGGUUCCUGUCCAACGUUAAUCGGGGCAGGGUGAGUCGACCCCUAAGGCGAGGCCGAAAGGCGUAGUCGAUGGGAAACAGGUUAAUAUUCCUGUACUUGGUGUUACUGCGAAGGGGGGACGGAGAAGGCUAUGUUAGCCGGGCGACGGUUGUCCCGGUUUAAGCAUGUAGGCGGAGGUUCCAGGUAAAUCCGGUACCUUUUAACGCUGAGGUGUGAUGACGAGGCACUACGGUGCUGAAGUAACAAAUGCCCUGCUUCCAGGAAAAGCCUCUAAGCAUCAGGUAACACGAAAUCGUACCCCAAACCGACACAGGUGGUCAGGUAGAGAAUACCAAGGCGCUUGAGAGAACUCGGGUGAAGGAACUAGGCAAAAUGGUGCCGUAACUUCGGGAGAAGGCACGCUGACAUGUAGGUGAAGCCCCUGCGGGUGGAGCUGAAGUCAGUCGAAGAUACCAGCUGGCUGCAACUGUUUAUUAAAAACACAGCACUGUGCAAACACGAAAGUGGACGUAUACGGUGUGACGCCUGCCCGGUGCCGGAAG